rnacentral:rRNA from 1 species
UACAGAGGUCCCAAGCGUUGUUCGGAUUCAUUGGGCGUAAAGGGUGCGUAGGCGGCGCGGUAAGUCGGGUGUGAAAUCUCGGAGCUUAACUCCGAAACUGCAUUCGAUACUGCCGUGCUUGAGGACUUGAGAGGAGACUGGAAUUCCUGGUGUAGCGGUGAAAUGCGCAGAUAUCAGGAGGAACACCGGUGGCGAAGGCGGGUCUCUGGGCCGAUACUGACGCUGAGGAACGAAAGCUAGGGGAGCAAACAGG